GGGUUGUGAGGUUAAGCGACUAAGCGUACACGGUGGAUGCCCUGGCAGUCAGAGGCGAUGAAGGGCGUGCUAAUCUGCGAUAAGCGCCGGUAAGGUGAUAUGAACCGUUAUAACCGGCGAUACCCGAAUGGGGAAACCCAGUGUGAUUCGUCACACUAUCAUUAACUGAAUCCAUAGGUUAAUGAGGCGAACCGGGGGAACUGAAACAUCUAAGUACCCCGAGGAAAAGAAAUCAACCGAGAUUCCCCCAGUAGCGGCGAGCGAACGGGGAGGAGCCCAGAGCCUGAAUCAGCAUGUGUGUUAGUGGAAGCGUCUGGAAAGGCGCGCGAUACAGGGUGACAGCCCCGUACACAAAAGCGCAUGUGCUGUGAGCUCGAUGAGUAGGGCGGGACACGUGGUAUCCUGUCUGAAUAUGGGGGGACCAUCCUCCAAGGCUAAAUACUCCUGACUGACCGAUAGUGAACCAGUACCGUGAGGGAAAGGCGAAAAGAACCCCGGCGAGGGGAGUGAAAAAGAACCUGAAACCGUGUACGUACAAGCAGUGGGAGCNNGGGCGUUAAGUUGCAGGGUAUAGACCCGAAACCCGGUGAUCUAGCCAUGGGCAGGUUGAAGGUUGGGUAACACUAACUGGAGGACCGAACCGACUAAUGUUGAAAAAUUAGCGGAUGACCUGUGGCUGGGGGUGAAAGGCCAAUCAAACCGGGAGAUAGCUGGUUCUCCCCGAAAGCUAUUUAGGUAGCGCCUCGUGAAUUCAUCUCCGGGGGUAGAGCACUGUUUCGGCUAGGGGGCCAUCCCGGCUUACCAACCCGAUGCAAACUGCGAAUACCGGAGAAUGUUAUCACGGGAGACACACGGCGGGUGCUAACGUCCGUCGUGAAGAGGGAAACAACCCAGACCGCCAGCUAAGGUCCCAAAGUCAUGGUUAAGUGGGAAACGAUGUGGGAAGGCCCAGACAGCCAGGAUGUUGGCUUAGAAGCAGCCAUCAUUUAAAGAAAGCGUAAUAGCUCACUGGUCGAGUCGGCCUGCGCGGAAGAUGUAACGGGGCUAAACCAUGCACCGAAGCUGCGGCAGCGANNUGCUGGAGGUAUCAGAAGUGCGAAUGCUGACAUAAGUAACGAUAAAGCGGGUGAAAAGCCCGCUCGCCGGAAGACCAAGGGUUCCUGUCCAACGUUAAUCGGGGCAGGGUGAGUCGACCCCUAAGGCGAGGCCGAAAGGCGUAGUCGAUGGGAAACGGGUUAAUAUUCCCGUACUUGGUGUUACUGCGAAGGGGGGACGGAGAAGGCUAUGUUGGCCGGGCGACGGUUGUCCCGGUUUAAGCGUGUAGGUGUGUGUUCCAGGUAAAUCCGGUUCACUUUAACACUGAGGCGUGACGACGAGGCACUACGGUGCUGAAGCAACAAAUGCCCUGCUUCCAGGAAAAGCCUCUAAGCAUCAGGUAACAUCAAAUCGUACCCCAAACCGACACAGGUGGUCAGGUAGAGAAUACCAAGGCGCUUGAGAGAACUCGGGUGAAGGAACUAGGCAAAAUGGUGCCGUAACUUCGGGAGAAGGCACGCUGACACGUAGGUGAAGUGAUUUACUCAUGGAGCUGAAGUCAGUCGAAGAUACCAGCUGGCUGCAACUGUUUAUUAAAAACACAGCACUGUGCAAACACGAAAGUGGACGUAUACGGUGUGACGCCUGCCCGGUGCCGGAAGGUUAAUUGAUGGGGUCAGCGCAAGCGAAGCUCCUGAUCGAAGCCCCGGUAAACGGCGGCCGUAACUAUAACGGUCCUAAGGUAGCGAAAUUCCUUGUCGGGUAAGUUCCGACCUGCACGAAUGGCGUAAUGAUGGCCAGGCUGUCUCCACCCGAGACUCAGUGAAAUUGAACUCGCUGUGAAGAUGCAGUGUACCCGCGGCAAGACGGAAAGACCCCGUGAACCUUUACUAUAGCUUGACACUGAACAUUGAGCCUUGAUGUGUAGGAUAGGUGGGAGGCUUUGAAGUGUGGACGCCAGUCUGCAUGGAGCCGACCUUGAAAUACCACCCUUUAAUGUUUGAUGUUCUAACGUGGACCCGUAAUCCGGGUUGCGGACAGUGUCUGGUGGGUAGUUUGACUGGGGCGGUCUCCUCCUAAAGAGUAACGGAGGAGCACGAAGGUUGGCUAAUCCUGGUCGGACAUCAGGAGGUUAGUGCAAUGGCAUAAGCCAGCUUGACUGCGAGCGUGACGGCGCGAGCAGGUGCGAAAGCAGGUCAUAGUGAUCCGGUGGUUCUGAAUGGAAGGGCCAUCGCUCAACGGAUAAAAGGUACUCCGGGGAUAACAGGCUGAUACCGCCCAAGAGUUCAUAUCGACGGCGGUGUUUGGCACCUCGAUGUCGGCUCAUCACAUCCUGGGGCUGAAGUAGGUCCCAAGGGUAUGGCUGUUCGCCAUUUAAAGUGGUACGCGAGCUGGGUUUAGAACGUCGUGAGACAGUUCGGUCCCUAUCUGCCGUGGGCGCUGGAGAACUGAGGGGGGCUGCUCCUAGUACGAGAGGACCGGAGUGGACGCAUCACUGGUGUUCGGGUUGUCAUGCCAAUGGCACUGCCCGGUAGCUAAAUGCGGAAGAGAUAAGUGCUGAAAGCAUCUAAGCACGAAACUUGCCCCGAGAUGAGUUCUCCCUGAGACUUAGAGUCUCCUGAAGGAACGUUGAAGACGACGACGUUGAUAGGCCGGGUGUGUAAGCGCAGCGAUGCGUUGAGCUAACCGGUACUAAUGAACCGUGAGGCUUAACCUUACAACGCCGAAG
rnacentral:rRNA from 1 species